CGAGUUCCCGACUCCCUUCUAGUCUGCGUGUUCAACUUCUUCUUUUUCAACUCUUCUGCUUGGUGUGUGUGUGUUUGGAGUCUGAUGUAAGCCCAACGAUUGGCAUUCGGUUUCCCGUUGUUGUUUGUUCGUGGAGUCAGAUGUAAGCCCAACGAUUGGCUAUCUGUUUCCUAUUUCUCUUGUGGAGUUGGAUGUAAGACCAGCGAUUGGCAUUCCUUU
rnacentral:lncRNA from 1 species